GAGGAUAUAGCUCAGUGGUAGAGUGUAUGCUUAGCAUGCACAAGGUCCUGGGUUCAAUCCCCAGUACCUCCA
rnacentral:tRNA from 1 species